rnacentral:rRNA from 1 species
AGACGUCUACAUUAGAUACCCGUGUAGUCCCAGCCGUAAACGAUGCGCGUUAGGUGUAUCGACGACCACGAGUCGUCGAGGUGCCGAAGGGAAACCGUGAAACGUGCCGCCUGGGAAGUACGGUCGCAAGGCUGAAACUUAAAGGAAUUGCGGGGAGCACCACAACAGGUGGAGCCUGCGGUUUAAUUGGAGUCAACGCCGGGAAGCUCACCGGAUAGGACAGCAGAAUGAUUGCCGGGCUGAAGACCCUGCAUGACUAGCUG